GACGAACGCUGGCGGCGUGCCUAAUACAUGCAAGUCGAGCGGAAGUUGGAGAGCUUGCUCUUCAACUUUAGCGGCGGACGGGUGAGUAACACGUGGGCAACCUGCCCUGCAGAUCGGGAUAACUCCGGGAAACCGGUGCUAAUACCGAAUAGUUUUCGCCACCUCCUGGUGGCGUACGGAAAGACGGUUUCGGCUGUCACUGCAGGAUGGGCCCGCGGCGCAUUAGCUAGUUGGUGGGGUAACGGCCCACCAAGGCAACGAUGCGUAGCCGACCUGAGAGGGUGAUCGGCCACACUGGGACUGAGGCACGGCCCAGACUCCUACGGGAGGCAGCAGUAGGGAAUCUUCCGCAAUGGACGAAAGUCUGACGGAGCAACGCCGCGUGAGUGACGAAGGUUUUCGGAUCGUAAAACUCUGUUGUGAGGGAAGAACAAGUACCAACUAACUACUGGUACCUUGACGGUACCUCACCAGAAAGCCACGGCUAACUACGUGCCAGCAGCCGCAGUAAAAC
rnacentral:rRNA from 1 species